rnacentral:misc_RNA from 1 species
AGAUACUAGUUUGUUAAUACGAAAAUCGCUUGUAUAUGUCUUCGAUUUAGAUUAUUCAUGUUCCAUUCAUAUGUAAUUGCAUUUUUCAUUAGUAUAUUCAAGUCGUAGCUAGAGAUUUAUUAUCCCAAUAAGCUACCUUGUUCACCAGUUUCUUUCCACAACUCAAAAGCCUCAGGAUUCGGUGUAGGAAACCGAACUAUUGUUUUGCUCUUCUUUUGCUUACCACGAUUCACCAUUUAUUUUACUUCUCUUUUAUUAUUUUUUCUAUUUAAAUAUUUGUUCACAAAGAAGUGGGAAAAAAUCUGUUAAAGUUAGGCUUUUUG